rnacentral:rRNA from 1 species
GCUGGCGGCGUGCCUAAUACAUGCAAGUCGAGCGGAUGAAUGGGAGCUUGCUCCCGAUUGAUAGCGGCGGACGGGUGAGUAACACGUGGGCAACCUGCCUGUAAGACUGGGCUAACUUCGGGAAACCGGAGCUAAUACCGGAUAACUUCUUUCUUCUCCUGGAGAACGGUUGAAAGACGGCUUCCGCUGUCACUUACAGAUGGGCCCGCGGCGCAUUAGCUAGUUGGUGAGGUAACGGCUCACCAAGGCCACGAUGCGUAGCCGACCUGAGAGGGUGAUCGGCCACACUGGGACUGAGACACGGCCCAGACUCCUACGGGAGGCAGCAGUAGGGAAUCUUCCGCAAUGGACGAAAGUCUGACGGAGCAACGCCGCGUGAGUGAUGAAGGUUUUCGGAUCGUAAAACUCUGUUAUCAGGGAAGAACAAGUAUCGCAGUAACUGCCGGUACCUUGACGGUACCUGACCAGAAAGCCACGGCUAACUACGUGCCAGCAGCCGCGGUAAUACGUAGGUGGCAAGCGUUGUCCGGAAUUAUUGGGCGUAAAGCGCGCGCAGGCGGUUUCUUAAGUCUGAGGUGAAAGCCCACGGCUCAACCGUGAAGCGGCAUUGGAAACUGGGAGACUUGAGUGCAGAAGAGAAGAGUGGAAUUCCACGUGUAGCGGUGAAAUGCGUAGAGAUGUGGAGGAACACCAGUGGCGAAGGCGACUCUUUGAUCUGUAACUGACACUGAGGCGCGAAAGCGUGGGGAGCGAACAGGAUUAGAUACCCUGGUAGUCCACGCCGUAAACGAUGAGUGCUAAGUGUUAGAGGGUUUCCGCCCUUUAGUGCUGCAGCUAACGCAUUAAGCACUCCGCCUGGGGAGUACGGCCGCAAGGCUGAAACUCAAAGAAUUGACGGGGGCCGCACAAGCGGUGGAGCAUGUGGUUUAUU